GAAGCGGCAUGAGCAAUCACAUCUCCAGUUUCCUGAGCUGAGACCAACAGCCUCUGCCUGAUUUAUUGGAGGAGCAAGAGAAUACCAGUUUCUGUGCUAACACGCGGCUGUCACAUCUACUUGCAGACAGCCACUUCUUCCCAGCUGUUUCCCUGCUCUGGCAAGAAGGCACCCUAUUCCAAAAGCCAGUCGGCUGGAGUCUGCUUGGCGCUGCAGGUCAAUUUUGUUUUGAACUGAAUGCUUAGAUAAACACUGCUCUUCCACAUGGAUUGCCAACCUCGGUACAAUGCUUGGCUGUGAGUAUCUGCAUCUAUCUUAGUCAGCUGCUGGAAAGCCUGUCAGAGGACAUCCAUGCUAGGUUCCUGUCUUCAAGCACAACAUAACAUCAGUAAUAGUGUCAGGGUUUGCUGACUGUCCAUGAGAUGAAUCCCAAGUUAGACCAGUCACUGGUUGGUCAUUCAUUCAGACUCUGC
ensembl:lncRNA